GGAUGGCCGAUUUAAGGUGUUAGUCUCUUAAAUUAAUUAUGGGAUGA
rnacentral:tRNA from 1 species